rnacentral:tRNA from 1 species
GCACCCGUAGCUCAGCUGGAUAGAGCGCCGGUUUCCGAAACCGUAGGUCGCAGGUUCGAGUCCUGCCGGGUGCGCCA